rnacentral:rRNA from 1 species
UUUCCUACGGGAGGCAGCAGUGGGGGAUAUUGCACAAUGGGGGGAACCCUGAUGCAGCGACGCCGCGUGGGUGAAGGAGCGUUUCGGCGCGUAAAACCCUAUCGGCAGGGAAGAAGGAGGACGGUACCUGACUAAGAAGCCCCGGCUAACUACGUGCCAGCAGCCGCGGUAAUACGUAGGGGGCAAGCGUUAUCCGGAUUUACUGGGGGUAAAGGGGGCGCAGACGGCAGCGCAAGCCCGGAGUGGAAGACCGGGGCCCCACCCCGGGACUGCUCUUGG